rnacentral:rRNA from 1 species
GUAGUCUCGCACAGAUGCAUAUCAAUAAGCGGAGGAAAAGAAACUAACAAGGAUUCCCCUAGUAACGGCGAGUGAAGCGGGAAGAGCUCAAAUUUGAAAUCUUAAAGGGUUUCCCUUUACGAAUUGUAGUUUAAAGAAGUGUUUUCUGUUGAGGUUUUGGUAAAAGUUCUUUGGAAUAGGACAUCAUAGAGGGUGAGAAUCCCGUAUUUGACCUUUACUUUCAACUUUGUGAUACACUUUCAAAGAGUCGGAUUGUUUGGGAAUGCAGUCCAAAAUGGGUGGUAAAUUUCAUCUAAAGCUAAAUAUUGGCGAGAGACCGAUAGCGAACAAGUACCGUGAGGGAAAGAUGAAAAGAACUUUGAAAAGAGAGUUAAACAGUACGUGAAAUUGUCAAAAGGGAAGCGUUUGACACCAGUGUUGCUUUUCUGAAAAUCAAUUAAAGAACUGUUUAUGCUAAGCUGUUUAGACUUUAUCAGCUAACUGUUUAGUUUUGAGCUUUUCUUUAAUGCACUUUUCAGUUAACAAGUCAACAUCAAUUUCUUUUGCUGUAAAAAAGCUUGAGGAAGGUGGCUUGAGAUUCGUCUUAAGUGUUUAUAGCCUCUUGCCUAUGCAGUCGGAGAGAUUGAGGUCUGCAGCGUAGAUCCUUCGGGGCUAAAUGCAUUUGUGCUAAGUUAUAGCAUUUUAUAGACAACUUGUUGACUAUGAUUUGUCUUGUAGCUUACUCGCUUAUGUUAUUUUACCUACGCUUAGGAUGUUGAAGACUCUACAGAGAU